rnacentral:rRNA from 1 species
GAUGAACGCUGGCGGCGUGCCUAAUACAUGCAAGUCGAGCGAACGGACGAGAAGCUUGCUUCUCUGAUGUUAGCGGCGGACGGGUGAGUAACACGUGGAUAACCUACCUAUAAGACUGGGAUAACUUCGGGAAACCGGAGCUAAUACCGGAUAAUAUUUUGAACCGCAUGGUUCAAAAGUGAAAGACGGUCUUGCUGUCACUUAUAGAUGGAUCCGCGCUGCAUUAGCUAGUUGGUAAGGUAACGGCUUACCAAGGCAACGAUGCAUAGCCGACCUGAGAGGGUGAUCGGCCACACUGGAAUUGAGACACGGUCCAGACUCCUACGGGAGGCAGCAGUAGGGAAUCUUCCGCAAAGGGCGAAAGCCUGACGGAGCAACGCCGCGUGAGUGAUGAAGGUCUUCGGAUCGUAAAACUCUGUUAUUAGGGAAGAACAUAUGUGUAAGUAACUGUGCACAUCUUGACGGUACCUAAUCAGAAAGCCACGGCUAACUACGUG